UUUUACCAUAAAUGAGCAAGAACAAUUACCUUUACUAAUUUGCUUUAUGUUUUGUACAAGUUUCAGAUCCUUAAAAUACUGGUUUGAGAAAAUUUUAUGUUGAAUGUACAGAUAAUUAAGGUAAGUGAAUGGGAGUACAGAGAUAUUGGUUUACUGUCUUUGUAGGACUCUCCACAGAUAGUGAAUGAACAUUUUAAUCAAAAAUAAUAUAUAUGAUAUCUUGCAUAGUAUUAUUCUCUACUACAUGUUUAUGUAAUUGCCACUUUUAAGAAAUAAAUUUUAAAUUCUAGGAAAAUCAUAAUUUUCCUUUGACAAGAGACAAAUUAAAUCAAUAAAAAUCUGAAGAGGCUUAAAUGUGCUAAUUUUUUUUUAAAUUAAUUUUAUCCUGUGUGAAAAGUUAUUUACAAUACAUUCCAAGAUAUUCUUGAAAAGUUCAAAGGAGAAAAGUUUUUAAAGAUUGAAUGUUUAAUAUAGUUAAUUAAACAUUUGUUUACCUUGAAACAUUUGCCUAGUACAUGUCAUUCCAUGGUAUCUUAUUUCAUGUUUUAAUGAUACUGGUAAUAUUUGUGUUGUCUUGGGAAAGUUGGUAUUGCACCUUUAGUACCUGUAUUUGUGAAUGCUGGUCAUUUUAUACCGUCUUGGGAAAGUUGGUAUUGCACCUUUAGUACCUGUAUUUGUGAAUGCUGGUCAUUUUAUACCGUCUUGGGAAAGUUGGUAUUGCACCUUUAGUACCUGUAUUUGUGAAUGCUGGUCAUUUUAUACCGUCUUGGGAAAGUUGGUAUUGCACCUUUAGUACCUGUAUUUGUGAAUGCUGGUCAUUUUAUACCGUCUUGGGAAAGUUGGUAUUGCACCUUUAGUACCUGUAUUUGUGAAUGCUGGUCAUUUUAUACCGUCUUGGGAAAGUUGGUAUUGCACCUUUAGUACCUGUAUUUGUGAAUGCUGGUCAUUUUAUACCGUCUUGGGAAAGUUGGUAUUGCACCUUUAGUACCUGUAUUUGUGAAUGCUGGUCAUUUUAUACCGUCUUGGGAAAGUUGGUAUUGCACCUUUAGUACCUGUAUUUGUGAAUGCUGGUCAUUUUAUACCGUCUUGGGAAAGUUGGUAUUGCACCUUUAGUACCUGUAUUUGUGAAUGCUGGUCAUUUUGUACUGUCUUGGGAAAGUUGGUAUUGCACCUUUAGUACCUGUACUUGUGAAUGCUGGUCAAUCUGUCUUUUUUUAUGUGAAUGUUACCAGUUCAUUAUUUAUUGGUGUUAUUAUCUUCUUUGUAUACAUGUGUGUGACCAGAUCUGGCAGAUCAUCAUGUUUUUUUCAAAAAGAUUUUGCUAAAAACAGGACAACCAUACUCUUUAUGUUUUAUUUAAAAAAUUUAAACCUCCUUUUUGGUUAGACAGAUAUUUGGCUCUUUUUAGGGAUCUUCUGAAAAUGUGGCAAGUUGUAUAAAAUGUGUAUAGUACCAUGUGUUUCAUUUACAAUUUUCUUGUAGUUCAAUAAAUUGUUCAUCAUAUAU